rnacentral:piRNA from 1 species
UCUGUGAACUGUUUGUAGAUCAUCCCUUGC